rnacentral:rRNA from 1 species
UACGGAGGGGGCUAGCGUUGUUCGGAAUUACUGGGCGUAAAGCGCACGUAGGCGGACAUUUAAGUCAGGGGUGAAAUCCCAGAGCUCAACUCUGGAACUGCCUUUGAUACUGGGUGUCUUGAGUAUGGAAGAGGUGAAUGGAAUUCCGAGUGUAGAGGUGAAAUUCGUAGAUAUUCGGAGGAACACCAGUGGCGAAGGCGGCUCACUGGUCCAUUACUGACGCUGAGGUGCGAAAGCGUGGGGAGCAAACAGG